UAUCCUGUAGUUCAAUUGGUAGAACGUUACAUUGCGAAUGUUAAAAUAUAGGUUCAAUUCCUAUCAGGGAUAA
rnacentral:tRNA from 1 species